rnacentral:rRNA from 1 species
UACAGAGGGUGCAAGCGUUAAUCGGAGUUACUGGGCGUAAAGGGCGCGUAGGCGGUUACUUAAGUGAGAUGUGAAAUCCCUGGGCUUAACCUAGGAACUGCAUCUCAUACUGAGUGACUGGAGUAUUGUAGAGGGUAGUGGAAUUUCCGGUGUAGCGGUGAAAUGCGUAGAGAUCGGAAGGAACACCAGUGGCGAAGGCGGCUACCUGGACAAAUACUGACGCUGAGGCGCGAGAGCGUGGGGAGCAAACAGG